rnacentral:rRNA from 1 species
CCAGAGACUUAGCAGAGAUGCUUUGGUGCCUUCGGGAACUCUGAGGACAGGUGCUGCAUGGCUGUCGUCAGCUCGUGUUGUGAAAUGUUGGGUUAAGUCCCGCAACGAGCGCAACCCUUAUCCUUUGUUGCCAGCGGCUCGGCCGGGAACUCAAAGGAGACUGCCGGUGAUAAACCGGAGGAAGGUGGGGAUGACGUCAAGUCAUCAUGGCCCUUACGGCCAGGGCUACACACGUGCUACAAUGGCGCAUACAAAGAGAAGCGACCUCGCGAGAGCAAGCGGACCUCAUAAAGUGCGUCGUAGUCCGGAUUGGAGUCUGCAACUCGACUCCAUGAAGUCGGAAUCGCUAGUAAUCGUAGAUCAGAAUGCUACGGUGAAUACGUUCCCGGGCCUUGUACACACCGCCCGUCACACCAUGGGAGUGGGUUGCAAAAGAAGUAGGUAGCUUAACCUUCGGGAGGGCGCUUACCACUUUGUGAUUCAUGACUGGGGUGAAGUCGUAACAAGGUAAGCGUAGCGAG